CGGGAAGCGCCUGCGCCCGCCGCGGACAGACCGCGGCGAGCACAAAGGCGACAUCGGUCUGCGGGGGCCAACUGGGAGGGAGGACAACAAGCCUCGAUGCUCCCCCACUUUACCUUGGAAGCCUCUCUUACUAAAGAACCUGGGUUCAGAAGAGUGUCUGCUAGAMUAAUCCUGCUGCUUUGGUCCAACUUACUUAAGUCAGCUAUUGCAUCUCUGAGAGUACAGGGGAGGGAUCCUGUAGUCCAAACUCUUCUUCCCCUCAGAUCCACUCCACACGCUCCAGCUGCUUGUUACCUCACUGUGGCCGUUACUCCUGCUGGUAAUAGGAGCAACUGGAACACCCAGCGCGCGGGGGUUAGAGGCAGGCAGGAACCAGCGGGCGAAUCCUGGCUACGACUGAUCAUCCCACAGAAUUUCUAAAGGAAAGAAAAGUUCAAGAACUUUAUAGUUACUGGCUGCAAUGAAAAUGGAUGGAGAAGAGCAGCUUUUCCAAGAAAUGAACAUGAAGACAGGAGAUCAACUUAUAACGGAAAUAAUGGAACAGUUGCUUACAGUGCACCUUGCAAACUAGCUGAUGGUAAUAGGAUGAAACUUGGAAUUACUUCAGGUGCCAUGUUCAUUAAAAAAAUCAUUCAGAACCAAAACAUGAUUGCCACCUGCAUGCACAGAAACCAGAUCAUCAUCUUUCAGCUAGAAAACAAAGAAUUACUUAAUCUAAAAAGUGAACUCUGCAGAAGAUAAGUUGUUGACAUGAGUAUUCAGUUGUAGGAAUCUUGGAAACAAGCUGCCUGGUGUCCCAGAGUCUGUUCACAAACACAGAAGUGGAUACAAAAUACGCUGUAAACCGAUGACAAUUAUCAGUCUGUGGGAGAGGCCCAGUAGCAGAAUGAGCCACUGUAUAGAAGUAUAGAGAACACACACAAAUGCAUGCAGUACAUGAUAUAGUCUAUAUAUGCAAAUUUCAGAGCUAACCUCUUUCAAUUAAACUGUGCAGUUACCAAGAGAACAUUUAUAUCGAUAAUGAAGUUGCUGCAUGAAAGUCAUUGAGGCAAAUGAGGGCAAGAAGCGCUGAUAAAGGGGAAAAAAAAGAAUUUUAUUGGUUACUCUACAAGAUGUGGGUCUUUCAUUGAUAAUGUCAGUGAUUUAACUAGGAUGUCUUCAGUAAAUAUUACUUCUUCCAUACUUGUCUGACUGAAAAUCAUUGAGCACAAGACACAUCUUGAGAUACAAAUAGUCUUUAAACCCUUCCUAGCAGUGCACUAUGUGAAUGAAAAAUGCCAACAGAUUUCAGAAGGGUGUUUUAGUAUGGUUGUAGUCAAU
rnacentral:lncRNA from 1 species